rnacentral:rRNA from 1 species
GACGAACGCUGGCGGCGUGCUUAACACAUGCAAGUCGAGCGAGGAACUUCGGUUCCUAGCGGCGGACGGGUGAGUAACACGUGGGCAACCUGCCUCACAAUGGGGGAUAGCCUUCCGAAAGGAAGAUUAAUACCCCAUAAUACAAAGGAAACGCAUGUUUCUUUUGCCAAAGAAUUUCGUUGUGAGAUGGGCCCGCGGCGCAUUAGCUUGUUGGUGAGGUAACGGCUCACAAGGGCUUCGAUGCGUAGCCGACCUGAGAGGGUGAUCGGCCACAUUGGAACUGAGACACGGUCCAGACUCCUACGGGAGGCAGCAGUGGGGAAUAUUGCACAAUGGAGGAAACUCUGAUGCAGCAACGCCGCGUGAGUGAUGAAGGUCUUCGGAUUGUAAAGCUCUGUCUUCUGGGACGAUAAUGACGGUACCAGAGGAGGAAGCCACGGCUAACUACGUGCCAGCAGCCGCCGCUG